UACGUAGGGUGCAAGCGUUAAUCGGAAUACUGGGCGUAAAGCGUGCGCAGGCGGUGAUGUAAGACAGGUGUGAAAUCCCCGGGCUUAACCUGGGAACUGCAUUUGUGACUGCAUCGCUGGAGUGCGGCAGAGGGGGGAUGGAAUUCCGCGUGUAGCAGUGAAAUGCGUAGAUAUGCGGAGGAACACCGAUGGCGAAGGCAAUCCCCUGGGCCUGCACUGACGCUCAUGCACGAAAGCUAGGGGAGCGAACAGG
rnacentral:rRNA from 1 species